UACGGAGGAUCCGAGCGUUAUCCGGAUUUAUUGGGUUUAAAGGGUGCGCAGGCGGGAUGUUAAGUCGGCGGUGAAAUUUUGCAGCUCAACUGUAAAAGUGCCAUUGAUACUGGUUUUCUUGAGUGUGGAUGAAGUAGGCGGAAUUUGUGGUGUAGCGGUGAAAUGCAUAGAUAUCACGAGGAACUCCGAUUGCGCAGGCAGCUUACUAAACCAUAACUGACGCUCAGGCACGAAGGCGUGGGGAUCAAACAGGAUUAGAUA
rnacentral:rRNA from 1 species